rnacentral:rRNA from 1 species
CGUAGGGGUACCUGCGGAGGGAUCAUUACAAAAUAAGCGUAGUAAGGCUGCACCGCCAACAGGCGGCAAGGCUGGAGUAUUUUAUUACCCUUGUCUUUUGCGCACUUGUUGUUUCCUGGGCGGGUUCGCCCGCCUCCAGGACCACAUGAUAAACCUUUUUUAUGCAGUUGCAAUCAGCGUCAGUACAACAAAUGUAAAUCAUUUACAACUUUCAACAACGGAUCUCUUGGUUCUGGCAUCGAUGAAGAACGCAGCGAAAUGCGAUACGUAGUGUGAAUUGCAGAAUUCAGUGAAUCAUCGAAUCUUUGAACGCACAUUGCGCCCUUUGGUAUUCCAAAGGGCAUGCCUGUUCGAGCGUCAUUUGUACCCUCAAGCUUUGCUUGGUGUUGGGCGUUUUUUGUCUUUGGUUUUGUCCAAAGACUCGCCUUAAAACGAUUGGCAGCCGGCCUACUGGUUUCGCAGCGCAGCACAUUUUUGCGCUUGCAAUCAGCAAAAGAGGACGGCACUCCAUCAAGACUCUAUAUCACUUUUGACCUCGGAUCAGGUAGGGAUACCCGCUGAACUUAAGCAUAUCAAUAGGCCGGAGGAA